AUGUGAUCGUCUCUCGCAUAUCAAUAAGCGGAGGAAAAGAAACUAACAAGGAUUCCCCUAGUAACGGCGAGUGAAGCGGGAAGAGCUCAAAUUUGAAAUCUUAAAGGGUUUCCCUUUACGAAUUGUAGUUUAAAGAAGUGUUUUCUGUUGAGGUUUUGGUAAAAGUUCUUUGGAAUAGGACAUCAUAGAGGGUGAGAAUCCCGUAUUUGACCUUUACUUUCAACUUUGUGAUAUACUUUCAAAGAGUCGGAUUGUUUGGGAAUGCAGUCCAAAAUGGGUGGUAAAUUUCAUCUAAAGCUAAAUAUUGGCGAGAGACCGAUAGCGAACAAGUACCGUGAGGGAAAGAUGAAAAGAACCUUGAAAAGAGAGUUAAACAGUACGUGAAAUUGUCAAAAGGGAAGCGUUUGACACCAGUGUUGUUUUUCUGAAAAUCAAUUAAAGAACUGUUUAUGCUAAGCUGUUUAGACUUUAUCAGCUAUCUGUUUAGUUUUGAGCUUUACUUUAAUGCACUUUUCAGUUAACAAGUCAACAUCAAUUUCUUUUGCUGUAAAAAAGCUUGAGGAAGGUGGCUUGAGAUUCGUCUUAAGUGUUUAUAGCCUCUUGCCUAUGCAGUCGGAGAGAUUGAGGUCUGCAGCGUAGAUCCUUCGGGGCUAAAUGCAUUUGUGCUAAGUUAUAGCAUUUUAUAGACAACUUGUUGACUAUGAUUCGUCUUGUAGCUUACUCGCUUAUGUUAUUUUACCUACGCUUAGGAUGUUGAGCGCAUGUCUCUCUCU
rnacentral:rRNA from 1 species